GAUGAACGCUGGCGGCGUGCCUAAUACAUGCAAGUCGAGCGAACAGACGAGGAGCUUGCUCCUCUGACGUUAGCGGCGGACGGGUGAGUAACACGUGGAUAACCUACCUAUAAGACUGGGAUAACUUCGGGAAACCGGAGCUAAUACCGGAUAAUAUAUUGAACCGCAUGGUUCAAUAGUGAAAGACGGUUUUGCUGUCACUUAUAGAUGGAUCCGCGCCGCAUUAGCUAGUUGGUAAGGUAACGGCUUACCAAGGCGACGAUGCGUAGCCGACCUGAGAGGGUGAGCGGCCGCAGUGGAGCGGAGACACGGUCCAGGCGCCGACGGGAGGGAGCGGGAGGGGAUGGGCGGCAAUGGGGGGAAGGUGGGCGGAGGAGGGGCGGGUGGGGGAUGAAGGGCGUCGGAGCGGAGAACUGGGUUAUGAGGGAAGAACGAGGGGGGGAGUGACUAUGCACGUCUUGACGGUACCUAAUCAGAAAGCCACGGCUAACUACGUG
rnacentral:rRNA from 1 species